UAAUACAGAGGGUGCAAGCGUUAAUCGGAGUUACUGGGCGUAAAGGGCGCGUAGGCGGUUUAGUAAGUGAGAUGUGAAAGCCCUGGGCUUAACCUAGGAACUGCAUCUUAUACUGUUAGACUAGAGUACUGUAGAGGGUAGUGGAAUUUCCGGUGUAGCGGUGAAAUGCGUAGAGAUCGGAAGGAACACCAGUGGCGAAGGCGGCUACCUGGACAGAUACUGACGCUGAGGCGCGAGAGCGUGGGGAGCAAACAGGAUUAGAUACCCUGGUAGUCCACGCUGUAAACGAUGAGAACUAGAUGUUGGUAGGCAUGACCUAUUAGUAUCGAAGCUAACGCGAUAAGUUCUCCGCCUGGGGAGUACGACCGCAAGGUU
rnacentral:rRNA from 1 species